rnacentral:misc_RNA from 1 species
AACUUUCAGCAAUGGAUCACUUGGUUCCAGCAUCGAUGAAGAACGCAGCGAAAUGCGAUAAGUAAUGUGAAUUGCAGAAUUCAGUGAAUCAUCGAAUCUUUGAACGCACAUUGCGCCCCCUGGUAUUCCGGGGGGCAUGCCUGUUCGAGCGUCAUUACACCCCUCAAGCAUAGCUUGGUAUUGGGCUCUCGCCCCCGCGGCGUGCCCGAAAAGCAGUGGCGGUCCGGUGCGACUUUAAGCGUAGUAAAUUUCUCCCGCUUUGAAAGUUCGCCCCGUGGCCUGCCAGACAACCCCAUAUACUUCAAUAAUUGACCUCCGAUCAGGUAGGGAUACCCGCUGAACUUAAGCAUAUCAAUAAGCGGAGGCU